rnacentral:rRNA from 1 species
UUGUUUGGGAAUGCAGCCCAAAGCGGGUGGUAAACUCCAUCCAAGGCUAAAUACAAGCACGAGUCCGAUAGCGAACAAGUACCGUGAGGGAAAGUUGAAAAGUACUUUGAAGAGAGAGUAAACAGUGCGUGAAACCGCUUAGAGGUAAACGGGUGGAGUUGAACUGCAAUCUCUGAGAAUUCAGCUGGGGAAUUUUGCUUGAGCUUGGUCAAUUGGGCAGGGCCUCGAGGUAUGCUUAUCUGCAUGUUCUGAUCUUCGGAUCGGGAUGCGCGUUGCUCUUAUCAAGGGCUGUGCGCCUUGGGUGUCCGGCUGGCUCAUUCGCCAGUGCACUUUCUUGGAGUGAUCACCACGACCGGCGCUGCUGCUGGGCUGUUAUAGUUAAACCGGGCAUUCUUCGUCCUUGUGGCGUUGGGUGUUCGACACGGCAGGUAACUGGGUUCUUGCUUCGGCUUGUUUCUUGGUGUAUGCUGGCUUUAACGGUUCCAUGUGGUGUGUCGGAGACGGCGGCUUGUGGUGUGUGCAUGCGUGUCUAUCUGUUGGGGCAUUCUAGUUUGGUAGCUGUGUGCUUGUUCAAGCAGGCCCAGUUAUGGCUGGAGUGUGUCAGUGGGUGGUUGCGUGUGUGACACUUUUCAGGGCCAAUAGUCUGUGGU